rnacentral:rRNA from 1 species
CCUACGGGAGGCAGCAGUGGGGAAUAUUGCGCAAUGGGGGCAACCCUGACGCAGCAACGCCGCGUGGAGGAAGAAGGCUUUCGGGUUGUAAACUGCUUUUGUCAGGGACGAAAAAAGUGACGUUACCUGAGGAAAAAGCCGCUGAUAACUACGCGACAGCAGCCGCGGUAAUACGUAGGGGGCACGCGUUAUCCGGAUUUAUUGGGUGUAAGGGGCGUGUAGGCGGGAGCGCAAGUCGGAUGUGAAAUCUCAGGGCUCAACCCUGAAACUGCAUUUGAAACUGUGUUUCUUGAGUGGUGGAGAGGCAAUCGGAAUUCCGGGUGUAGCGGUGAAAUGCGUAGAUAUAAGGAGGAACACCAGUGGCGAAGGCGGCUUGCUGGACAGUAACUGACGCUGAGGCGCGAAAGCGUGGGGAGCAAACAGGAUUAGAUACCCGGGUAGUC